UUACGCAGACUGUUCCCACGAAAGAUCAGCGUGCUAGCACUGUUGCAGAGGCACUGGUGAAGCACUGGUUUCAACUUUUUGGGCCCCCAAGCCGGAUUCAUUCCGAUCAAGGACGAAAUUUUGAAAGUAAAUUGGUUCAACAGCUCUGUAAAUUGUACGGAAUCGAGAAAAGUCGCACUACCCCUUAUCAUCCUGAGGGGAAUGGGCAGUGUGAGCGUUUUAAUCGCACCUUGCAUGACUUGCUUCGAACUCUUCCACCUGAACAGAAACGCAAGUGGCCCCGGCAUAUUUCCCAAGUCACCUUUGCAUAUAAUACCACAGUCCAUCAAUCUACUGGCAUGACUCCCUACUUUUUGAUGUUUGGUCGGAAACCGCAGUUGCCUGUGGAUUUGUUUGUGGGAUUGAGUGCAAAUGAUGGGGGUCUUGACCUGCCCUUGGAAGAGUGGGUCGAGGAGCACCAAAAAUCACUAGAUUCUGCUUAUGAGAUGGUAAACCAAAAAGUAGAGAGCAGAACAGCUCAGAGAAAUCAGGAUGUGGAUGUUGCCCCAGAUUUUCAGGAAGGAGACCUGGUGUAUACCAGAAAUCAUUCAGUAAGGGGUCGCAGCAAAAUUCAGGAUUUUUAUGACCCAGUUCCAUAUAGAGUAGUUCACCCACCUUUGGAUCGAGGGGUAGUCUACUCUAUAGCGCCUGUGGGUCAGGAAGGACCCCUUCGUCAGGUCCACAGGGUCGAGCUUAGAAGUGUCCCUGAAGAUAGCGGGGUGGACAGGGGGCAAGAGAACGGGUUGGAAGAUGCACAGACAAACAUUAAGGGGGAGGAUGAAAUGGUGGAUUUGUCUGAGUCUGAUGUUCGACCAGAUAGUGAGAUUGGUGGGGCUGGUAUUUUAGAGGGUGCGACUUUGGGUGUUCAGCCUCUUUCAGGCCAGGAAUCUGCUCAGGGGAUUGACACAGCCAUCGCUCCUGAGCCCAGGAGGUCAGCUCGGAAAACAGCAGGACAGCAUUCCAACCCUUUUAGACUGCCCUGUUCCGUGCUGAAAAAAUGAAUUUUGUUUUUGGGUAACAGUUUUUUGUGUACAUCGUCGGGUCGCCAAUGCAUUAUGAGGGGGAGGAAUGUAACAGGUGGCACCAGUAGGUGUCACUCUCCAUAGGCUGAGCCUCUAUAAAAGGGGAAGCUAGUAGGGUGGUAGCCAGGAGUUCACUUCCUGUGUCUGGGACCAGGGGUGUGGUCGAUCCAUACUGUUGGCUGGCUGGGGGCCGCAUUAACAGUAUUCCAGUGGUAGCGUUACCUGGGCGUGUGGUUGUUCGACGCCGCAGGUAGGCUUUUACAUUUACUGUUUGGGUGUCACCUGGGCGUGUUGUUUGAUGCCGCAGGUAGGCUUUUAUAUAUGCUGUUUUAAGUGAUGCAGGUAAGCAGUGUUUUUAAUGUGGUUAGAUUGGAUUAAAGUGUUUUAAUGAGUAUUUGGUAAUUUUGUAUUUUUGUUUUGACAGGGUUGUCACUGCUUCCUGCUGUCCUUUAGAGUUUGAUUUUCUUUUCUGUUAGUCUGCCUGGUUUGGAUUGUUUUUCUUUUUGAGUACUUGUGAGGGUGGACUAACAACUUUGCAUUUAUUUUGUUUUCUUUUCACUUCCUGUAUGCUUAUAUUCCUGCUACAUUUUAUAUAUUGGCACCUGUAUUUUAUUUAUAUACAAUAAAGCUUGGUAAAAUUAA